rnacentral:rRNA from 1 species
CCCAGACUCCUACGGGAGGCAGCAGUGGGGGAUAUUGCACAAUGGGGGGAACCCUGAUGCAGCGACGCCGCGUGGGUGAAGAAGUAUUUCGGUAUGUAAAGCCCUAUCGGCAGGGAAGAAAUUGGACGGUACCUGACUAAGAAGCCCUGGCUAACUACGUGCCAGCAGCCGCGGUAAUACGUAGGGGGCAAGCGUUAUCCGGAUUCACUGGGUGUAAAGGGAGCGUAGACGGCCAUGCAAGCCUGGAGUGAAAGCCCGGGGCCCAACCCCGGGACUGCUCUGGGAACUGUGCGGCUGGAGUGCGGGAGGGGCAGGCGGAAUUCCUGGUGUAGCGGUGAAAUGCGUAGAUAUCAGGAGGAACACCGGCGGCGAAGGCGGCCUGCUGGACCGCGACUGGCGUUGAGGCUCGAAAGCGUGGGGAGCAAACAGGAUUAGAUACCCUUGUAUU